UCGGGAAUAUUGCGCAAUGGAGGAAACUCUGACGCAGUGACGCCGCGUAUGGGAAGAAGGUUUUCGAAUUGUAAACCAUUUUAGACAAGGAAGAAAAAAGACAGUACUUGUAGAAUAAGCUCCGGCUAACUACGUGCCAGCAGCCGCGGUAAUACGUAGGGAGCAAGCGUUAUCCGGAUUUAUUGGGUGUAAAGGGUGCGUAGACGGGAAGGUAAGUUAGUUGUGAAAUCCCUCGGCUCAACUGAGGAAUUGCGACUAAAACUGCUUUUCUUGAGUACUGGAGAGGAAAGUGGAAUUCCUAGUGUAGCGGUGAAAUGCGUAGAUAUUAGGAGGAACACCAGUGGCGAAGGCGACUUUCUGGACAGUAACUGACGUUGAGGCGCGAAAGUGUGGGGAGCAAACAGGAUUAGAUACC
rnacentral:rRNA from 1 species